rnacentral:sRNA from 1 species
CACUCACUGUUUGCUUCCCCAGGCCAGCUGGAGGUGAUCUUGGACCGGCGGCUGAUGCAGGAUGACAACCGGGGCCUAGGCCAAGGGCUCAAGGACAACAAGAGAACCUGCAACCGUUUCCGCCUCCUGCUAGAGCGGCGAACCGUGGGCAGUGAGGUCCAAGAUAGCCACUCUACCAGCUACCCAUCCCUCCUCAGCCACCUGACCUCCAUGUACCUGAACGCCCCGGCGCUCGCUCUGCCUGUAGCCAGGACGCAGCUCCCAGGCCCUGGUCUGCGCUCAUUUCAUCCUCUGGCUUCCUCACUGCCCUGUGACUUCCACCUGCUCAACCUACGUACCCUCCAGGCUGAGGUGAGUGUCCCUCAGCGUGACAUGCUGAGAGCAGAGUUCUGAUGGUGUCCCUCCCUGCUCAGCUCCUUCCUUAGCCUCCAGGAUGAGGUCCAGACCCCUUAGCAGGUAUUUGGCUCCAAACCUCCAGGACCAGGUUUUGGCCUUUCCUUACCCACACGCCUCCCUGUGCCAGCACUGCCUCUGGGCAGAGGCGCUGCUGCAUCUCCGAUCUCUGAAAGCCCUGCGCCCACUUCCCUGGGCACUGUCUGUCAUCCAGGAGGACACCCUGCCCUCGGCGGAGACCGCACUCAUCUUACACCGCAAGGGUUUUGACUGCGGCCUGGAGGCCAAGAACUUGGGCUUCAACUGCACCACAAGCCAAGGCAAG